AUUGAACGCUGGCGGCAGGCCUAACACAUGCAAGUCGAGCGGACGAAGGGAGCUUGCUCCUGGAUUCAGCGGCGGACGGGUGGGUAAUGCCUAGGUAUCUGCCUGGCAGUGGGGGAUAACGUCCGGACACGGGCGCUAAUACCGCAUAAGUCCUGAGGGCGAACGUGGGGGAUCUUCGGACCUCACGCUAUCAGAUGAGCCUAGGUCGGAUUAGCUAGUUGGUGGGGUAAAGGCCUACCAAGGCGACGAUCCGUAACUGGUCUGAGAGGAUGAUCAGUCACACUGGAACUGAGACACGGUCCAGACUCCUACGGGAGGCAGCAGUGGGGAAUAUUGGACAAUGGGCGAAAGCCUGAUCCAGCCAUGCCGCGUGUGUGAAGAAGGUCUUCGGAUUGUAAAGCACUUUUAUUAGGGAAGAAGAGCAGUAAGUUAAUACCUUGCUGUUUUGACGGUACCAACAGAAUAAGCACCGGCUAACUUCGUG
rnacentral:rRNA from 1 species